AGGCCUCUCACUCUUUCAUCUCUCUCUCUCCGUUGCUCUCUCCAUUUGCUGCUCUCACUUUGUCGGUUCUCCACUUGCUGCUCUCACCGCCUAGGUCUCAUCCCAAUCACCAGCAACCGAGCAAUGAGCAUGCACUUCUCCAAGAAGGGACUGCGACUGCGACGGCGACGGCGACGGCGACGGUGACGGUCAGUGUGAGUUUUGCUUUGUCGAGUUCCAUUUGAGGGCCAAAUGUAUUGAUGAUCAAACCCCAGAUGUCACCAGCAAGGACCUUUACAGCUCCGACCACACCGUUGUUCCUAUUGAUUUCUCUGAUUCCAGUUCUGGUUUUGACAAUGCCGAACAUAGGUUUUGGAUCCUAAAACUUUGUUGUCGUUUACUCUGAAACUGAACACUUAACCAAAUGCUUUGAAAAUUAAAGACAAUCUCUCGCAGGAAAUUCUUCCACUUACGUUUGGUCACGAUAUGGUAAGAUAUUGAGGUAGAUUUUUUUUUAUUCCGUUUGCUGUUUUAAUUAUAUUUGAUUGCCAUUCACAAACCUUCUCCCUGCAAUGAAUGAGGGUCAUUCACAAGUUAGUUUCUCUGUUGGCUCCAUAAUGGCAGCUAGAUGUAUAUAUAUUCUAGAAGGGCUUAAAGUUUAUAUGGUUCCAAUGUGUUAGUUUCCUCUAUUUUGGUGGUUAUUCCCAGUUCCUCUAAUCUUUAAUGCAGAGGCUAAAACUUUCUA